AUUGAACGCUGGCGGCAGGCCUAACACAUGCAAGUCGAGCGGUAGAAGGGAGCUUGCUUCCUUUGAGAGCGGCGGACGGGUGAGUAAUGCCUAGGAAUCUGCCUGGUAGUGGGGGAUAACGUUCGGAAACGGACGCUAAUACCGCAUACGUCCUACGGGAGAAAGUGGGGGAUCUUCGGACCUCACGCUAUCAGAUGAGCCUAGGUCGGAUUAGCUAGUUGGUGAGGUAAUGGCUCACCAAGGCGACGAUCCGUAACUGGUCUGAGAGGAUGAUCAGUCACACUGGAACUGAGACACGGUCCAGACUCCUACGGGAGGCAGCAGUGGGGAAUAUUGGACAAUGGGCGCAAGCCUGAUCCAGCCAUGCCGCGUGUGUGAAGAAGGUCUUCGGAUUGUAAAGCACUUUAAGUUGGGAGGAAGGGUAGUAGCUUAAUACGUUGCUACUUUGACGUUACCGACAGAAUAAGCACCGGCUAACUCUGUGCCAGCAGCCGCGGUAAUACAGAGGGUGCAAGCGUUAAUCGGAAUUACUGGGCGUAAAGCGCGCGUAGGUGGUUAUGUAAGUUGAAUGUGAAAUCCCCGGGCUCAACCUGGGAACUGCAUCCAAAACUGCAUGGCUAGAGUACGGUAGAGGGUGGUGGAAUUUCCUGUGUAGCGGUGAAAUGCGUAGAUAUAGGAAGGAACACCAGUGGCGA
rnacentral:rRNA from 1 species